rnacentral:rRNA from 1 species
GACGAACGCUGGCGGCGUGCUUAACACAUGCAAGUCGAACGGAAAGGCCCUGCUUUUGUGGGGUGCUCGAGUGGCGAACGGGUGAGUAACACGUGAGUAACCUGCCCUUGACUUUGGGAUAACUUAAGGAAACUGGGGCUAAUACCGGAUAGGAGCUCCUGCUGCAUGGUGGGGGUUGGAAAGUUUCGGCGGUUGGGGAUGGACUCGCGGCUUAUCAGCUUGUUGGUGGGGUAGUGGCUUACCAAGGCUUUGACGGGUCGCCGGCCUGAGAGGGUGACCGGCCACAUUGGGACUGAGAUACGGCCCAGACUCCUACGGGAGGCAGCAGUGGGGAAUAUUGCACAAUGGGCGGAAGCCUGAUGCAGCAACGCCGCGUGCGGGAUGACGGCCUUCGGGUUGUAAACCGCUUUCGCCUGUGACGAAGCGUGAGUGACGGUAAUGGGUAAAGAAGCACCGGCUAACUACGUG